AUAGUACUCCCUCCGUCCCAAAAUAAGUGACUCAAAAGUGACUCAAUUUUGCACUAACUUUAGUACAAAAUUGUAUCAUUUUUGAGUCACUUAUUUUGGGACGGAGGGAGUAUAAU
rfam:Hordeum vulgare subsp. vulgare, WGS project CAJW01000000 data, contig: morex_contig_276108